rnacentral:rRNA from 1 species
UACAGAGGUCCCAAGCGUUGUUCGGAUUCACUGGGCGUAAAGGGUGCGUAGGUGGUCGGGUAAGUCUGAUGUGAAAUCUCCGAGCUUAACUCGGAAAUGGCAUUGGAUACUAUUCGGCUAGAGGGUUGCAGGGGAGACUGGAAUUCCUGGUGUAGCGGUGAAAUGCGCAGAUAUCAGGAGGAGCACCGGUGGCGAAGGCGGUUCUCUGGGCAUUACCUGACGCUGAGGAGCGAAAGUGUGGGGAGCGAACAGG